GCUUCCUACGGGAGGCAGCAGUAGGGAAUCUUCCGCAAUGGGCGCAAGCCUGACGGAGCAACGCCGCGUGAGUGAUGAAGGCCUUCGGGUUGUAAAACUCUGUCUUCUGUGAAGAACCAUCCUGUGCAGAGAAAGCUCAGGACCUGACGGUAACAGAGGAGGAAGCCCCGGCUAACUACGUGCCAGCAGCCGCGGUAAUACGUAGGGGGCAAGCGUUGUCCGGAAUCACUGGGCGUAAAGCGCGCGCAGGCGGCGAUCUGCGUCUGGGGUGAAAGCCCGGAGCUCAACUCCGGGAUUGCCUUGGAUACGGGGUCGCUUGAGGAUCGGAGAGGCAAGGGGAAUUCCACGUGUAGCGGUGAAAUGCGUAGAGAUGUGGAGGAACACCUGUGGCGAAGGCGCCUUGCUGGCCGAUUUCUGACGCUGAGGCGCGAAAGCGUAGGGAGCAAACAGGAUUAGAUACCCUGGUAGUCCACGCCGUAAACGAUGAGUGCUAGGUGUUGGGGGGUACCACCCUCAGUGCCGAAGCUAACGCAUUAAGCACUCCGCCUGGGGAGUACGGUCGCAAGACUGAAACUCAAAGGAAUUGACGGAAGC
rnacentral:rRNA from 1 species